UACGUAGGGUGCAAGCGUUGUCCGGAAUUAUUGGGCGUAAAGAGCUCGUAGGCGGUUUGUCGCGUCUGCUGUGAAAACUCGGGGCUUAACCCCGGGCCUGCAGUGGGUACGGGCAGACUAGAGUGCGGUAGGGGAGACUGGAAUUCCUGGUGUAGCGGUGAAAUGCGCAGAUAUCAGGAGGAACACCGGUGGCGAAGGCGGGUCUCUGGGCCGUAACUGACGCUGAGGAGCGAAAGCGUGGGGGAGCGAACAGGG
rnacentral:rRNA from 1 species